UUCUGAAAUUAAGACCUGAAAAGGAGGGGCACAAAGAAGACAGAGGGGCGAGGUCACCGGAGUUCCAAGCUCCCCAAGGAUGAAGUCGCAGGCUGCUGCAAGCAGAGCAUCUGUGUGUACAUAACAUGUGCAUGUGGCACUGAGGAUGGGACACAGGGCCAUGAGCACGCCAUAAAAGCCACCUACCACUGAGCUACGCUGGAAGGCUGACCGUGCAGCCUCUUUCCUCGGACUCCACCCCUGCAACCAAGAAGGAUUGGUUCUUGGUUCUUUCAUGUCUGUUACUUUCUGGAAGAAUGCAACUAAAGAAGGCAGCUCUCUGGGAGACCCUGUGAAGUAAAUGCCAGAUGCCGCCGACUCUCAUUAUUUCACAAGAUGGAAAGUGCAGCAGGGCCGUUACAGAUGUGACUGAACUGCUCCUCUACACAACCCUGCUAUGACAUGCCACCACCUACCACCCUCCCUGGAAUGUGUUGAUGGAAGCAUCUUGCACUCAAACCUUCAAAACUAUGGGACUCGUACCAUACAUGAGCAGCUGGUGAAAAUCAAAGUCCAGAAGCCAUUGGUAUUCCAGGGGUCCCUUUUGAGGAAUUAACAGAAGAGAACCCCUUGCUGUCCUCUGAAGUUAAAGACCGACUCUUGCUGUGUAAGAUGCCUCUCUUCUGCACCCAGGAAAAGUUUUCAUAUUUUACCCUGUCUUCUCAUUAUUGAACACCAGGUAUUGAAGAAAAUAGGAAACUCUUUAUGGUUUA